rnacentral:lncRNA from 1 species
AAGGACCACACCACCGGAGGCCUAGCCCGCGCCCUAGAGGCUCCUGGGGAGGAGCCAGGCUAGCGCACGCUGAAUGCUGCUGCUGCUGCUGCUAAGUCGCUUCAGUCGUGUCCGACUCUGUGCGACCCCACAGAUGGCAGCCCACCAGGCUCCCCCGUCCCUGGGAUUCUCCAGGCAAGAACACUGGAGUGGGUUGCCAUUUCCUUCUCCAAUGCAUGAAAGUGAAAAGUCAAAGUGAAGUUGAAUACAGAGGCCCAAAGUGCCCGAAUUCCAGCUUCACUGCUGCGGGGCCCAGGACAGAGCUCUGCCCGGGAACAGGACACCGAGGCUCGGGUCUCUGCCCCUCACCGGCUGUGGGCCUGCGCGAGGGACAGUGCCUGUCUCCGAGCCUGGAUCUCUCAAGCCGAAGCCGGACGCUGCGUUGCUUAGGUGUCCCUGGCCCGGCCUGACAGUGGGCGGGACCGUGGAGACGGGGCGGGGCUUCCGGUGGGCGGGGCAUACGCCUGGCACCGCCCCCUGCACCUAUCACGGCUUCUCGCGGGUCAGUCGCCAUGCGCGUGGACUCAGCCCGCUCUGGUCGCUACAGGGCAGGCCCACAGGAUCUGCCCUGAUCGGUGGUGAGCUCGAGGGUGGCGUUGCGGGCAUGCUGGCGCUUAGGUCCCAGGCGCACCGGGAAUUCCGCCUCAGCCCGGCUCUUUAUCAGCCGCGGGACCUCGGGAACGUCGCUGUGACACCCUGCCCGGGAGGGGCGAGGAUGAAAUCUCAGCACCAUCCCCCGCCACACACACACAUUCCACACCCGGAAACCCCCGCCUGGGAAUGACUCUCGGCUUGCUCGAGCCCUGGACCCAAAUCCCCCAUGUCCGCAAGUCCUGGCAAGGCUUUCUGUGAAAUGUCUGCCACCUGCCCCCUUGUGGAGGCGACAGGAAGGGCCGGAGGAGGACGGGAGGGACCUUGAAGGACAGCCCAACCCCCUCAACCCCCCACCCCAAGAGGAGCCAGCCUGGGCCUGUAUACUGGCCACAGGUUUAAAAUUAAAGCGGGCUGCCAGGCAAACUUCUGCA